GAUGGGUACUGCCAUUCAGUCAGGCCUCAGUCCAGAGACUUCUCCUGAAAGUAGUUUCCUGCAGCUAUUCUUUCACAGAACUGAACAAGACUUGUGGAGUUCAGGAGUCCAGCACCCAUCUCAGUGGAGUCUAGCACCCACCUCAGGGGAACAGCUUUUACUGCAAGUGCAGCAACAGGAAGAAUUUUCAAUUGGAAUCAAAUACCAGACAAGGGUCUUUGCUUGAGCACCACCAAUGACCCCAGAGAUGACCCACAGGAACUGCUGGCAAAAGGAGUGAAAAGGACUACCAGUUACUUAACACAUCAAAAUAUUAUAAGCAACAAAACAUUCAUAAAGUACUUAUGGAGGGACUAUGAGGAGACUUUUGCCAGGUUCUUUGCAAGAGCAGCUGGAAGUCCACAUAC